rnacentral:misc_RNA from 1 species
GAUGAAGAACGUAGCGAAAUGCGAUAAGUAAUGUGAAUUGCAGAAUUCAGUGAAUCAUCGAAUCUUUGAACGCACAUUGCGCCCGCCAGUAUUCUGGCGGGCAUGCCUGUCUGAGCGUCAUUUCAACCCUCAUGCCCCUAGGGCGUGGUGUUGGGGAUCGGCCAAAGCCCGCGAGGGACGGCCGGCCCCUAAAUCUAGUGGCGGACCCGUCGUGGCCUCCUCUGCGAAGUAGUGAUAUUCCGCAUCGGAGAGCGAUGAGCCCCUGCCGUUAAACCCCCAACUUUCCAAGGUUGGCCUCAGAUCAGGUAGGAAUACCCGCUGAACUUAAGCAUAUCAAUAAGCGGAGGA